GGGUCAGCAAGUUGGUCGUGUCACUGGUAUGCACUGGCUUUGCUGAUUCCUCCUUCUUGUAGAAUCGUAAUGCCAUUAAGUUGGUGUUGCGGGGAGACAGGACUGUUACUUUGAAAAAAUUAGAGUGUUUAAAGCAGGCUAACGCUUGAAUACAUUAGCAUGGAAUAAUGAAAUAGGACGACGAUCCUAUUUUGUUGGUUUCUAGGAUUGACGUA
rnacentral:rRNA from 1 species